GGAAUUUUGGACAAUGGGCGCAAGCCUGAUCCAGCCAUUCCGCGUGCAGGAUGAAGGCCUUCGGGUUGUAAACUGCUUUUGUACGGAACGAAAAGCCUUUUUCUAAUACAGGAAGGUCAUGACGGUACCGUAAGAAUAAGCACCGGCUAACUACGUGCCAGCAGC
rnacentral:rRNA from 1 species